rnacentral:rRNA from 1 species
GAGGCUAAAAAGUUCUAGGGAUAAACUAGGAUUAGAUACCCUAUUAUACUAGAGUUUAAUGUGGAAGUGCCAGAUUAUUAAUAGGUAUGUUCUUUAAAUUUAAAGAAUUUGGCGGUAAUUUAGUCUAGUUAGAGGAACCUGUUUUUAAUCGAUAAACCACGUUGUAUCUUACUUAUUCUCUGUGGGUUUGUAUACCAUCAUUAGCAGAUAAUUUUAUAUAGAAGUAAAAUUAUUAUUUAUAAUUACUUAUGUAAAUUAGAUCAAGGUGCAGCUAAUGGAUAAGUUAAAAUGGGUUACAAUAAAUUUUAUUUAAAUGGAUUAAUAUUGGUAAGCUGAUUUAUAAAGGAGGAUUUAAUUGUAAUAUAGGUUUAAUAAGCCUAGGAGGUAAUAGUUCUAAAUUAUGUACAUAUCGCC